CCUACGGGAGGCAGCAGUGAGGAAUAUUGGUCAAUGGGAGAGAUCCUGAACCAGCCAAGCCGCGUGAGGGAAGACGGCCCUAUGGGUUGUAAACCUCUUUUGUCGGAGAACAAAACCCGGGACGUGUCCCGGACUGCGUGUAUCCGCAGAAAAAGCACCGGCUAACUCCGUGCCAGCAGCCGCGGUAAUACGGAGGAUGCGAGCGUUAUCCGGAUUUAUUGGGUUUAAAGGGUGCGUAGGCGGUCCGUUAAGUCAGCGGUAAAAUUGCGGGGCUCAACCCCGUCGAGCCGUUGAAACUGGCAGACUGGAGUGGGCGAGAAGUACGCGGAAUGCGCGGUGUAGCGGUGAAAUGCAUAGAUAUCGCGCAGAACUCCGAUUGCGAAGGCAGCGUACCGGCGCCAGACUGACGCUGAGGCACGAAAGCGUGGGGAUCGAACAGGAUUAGAUACCCUUGUAGUC
rnacentral:rRNA from 1 species